CGCUCACUUGUACCUGGCGUUUACCUGGCGAGGGCUGUGUGUGGCGUGCUUUGUGUGUGUCGUGCUCCGGUUUCUGUACCCAAACUUGGGACUCAUAAGCGGCGUCGGCCGUUCCUGUCGUGUGUAGCUUCGGAGGGGACUUUGAAAAGCGUGGUGUCUGCUCUUCCUCACUGUGAGACGGUGACUGGGUUUGAGCUGUGCGCUGUGCGUUAAGCUCCCUUCGCUCCGCCGAGGCCACAGCUUGUGGCUUCUUCUCCUCCUCUGCGCACUGUGUGGGGCUGCACUCCGCAGCCCGGUGACGUGGGCCGCCAGCUGGGCAUCCCGAAGGCCUCCAGCCCCGGUGCGGCUGCUCCGUUUUCCACUGCUGUUCUGCCAGUUUUCCACAGACUGAUUAAAGCACACUGUAAUGCAG